UUAGAGUUUGAUCCUGGCUCACAACAAACGCUAGCGGCGUGGCUAAGACAUGCGAGUCGAACGGACUAUCCUAUUGAGUAAUCGAAAGGAGGUUAGUGGCGAAAGGGUGAGUAAUGGAUAGGUAACGUGCCCUGUGCUCCGGGACAACGUCAUUCGCCUUCCGGCGAACUACCGAAAGGGGCGGUAAUGCCGGAUAAUAUCACUUGUUGAUGGACAGGUGCUCAAAGAUUUAUCGGCGCGGGAGCGGCCUAUCUCCUAUCAACUUGUUGGUGAGGUAACGGCUCACCAAGGCUAUGACGGGUAGCGGGACUGAGAGGUUGUUCCGCCACAUCGGGACUGAAACACUGCCCGGACCUCGGCGGAGGGCUGCAGUAACGAAUCUUGCUCAAUGGGGAAAAGCCUGACGCAGCGACGCCCCUUGCGGGAGGAGGGGGUGGGGGGAUGUAAACCGCUGUCAUGGGUAAGAAAGUGCACUUCGGUGCCUUGAUCUAACCCAAGGGAAAUCACGGCUAACUUCUUGCCGGCAGCCUAGGGAAGACAAACGUGGCAGGCGUUCUUCUGGGUUACUGGGCUUAAAGAUGGUGUAGGCCGAGAGGUAAGCACCCUGUAAAACCCCCCGGCUUAACCGGGGAACUGCGCGGUGAACUGCCUUUCUUGAGCCAAGUAGGGGGUGCACGGAACUCUUGGUGGAGCGGUGGAAUGCGUAGAUAUCAAGAGGAACGCCAGUGGUGAAAACGGUGCACUGGGCUUGUGCUGACGCUGAGACACGAAAGCGUGGGGAGCAAACGGGAUUAGAUACCCCGGUAGUCCACGCCGUAAACGAUGUCUACUAGGUUGUGGAAGUUCUGACGCUUGCACGGCCGAAGCAAAAGUGCUAAGUAGACCGCCUGGGGAGUACGGUCGCAAGGCUAAAACUCAAAGGAAUUGACGGGGGCUCACACAAGCGGUGGAGCAUGUGGAUUAAUUCGAAGCAACGCGUAGAACCUUACCUGGGUUUGACAUGCCUGGAUGCUGCCCUAGAAACAGGGUUAGCUGCCCUUCGGGGUGAAACUUGCACAGGUGCUGCAUGGCUGUCGUCAGCUCGUGUCGUGAGAUGUCGGGUUAAGUCCUCUAACGAGCGAAACCCUUGCCGUUAGUUGCCAGCGGGUUACCCCCCGGGACUCUAACGGGACUGCCGGUGUAAAACCGGAGGAAGGUGGGGACGACGUCAAGUCAUCAUGGCCUUUAUGCCCAGGGCUUCACACGUGCUACAAUGGCGGCAACAGAGCGACACAAUAUCGCGAGGUGGAGCAAACCGCAAAAAUGUCGCCCCAGUUCGGAUUGCAGGCUGACAACUCGCCUGCAUGAAGUUGGAAUCGCUAGUAAUCGCGUAUCAGCUAUGACGCGGUGAAUAUGUUCCUGAGCCUUGUACACACCGCCCGUCAAGUGAUGGGAGUUGGGAGUACCCGAAGUCGGGUUACUAACCCGGUUUACCGGGAAGUGCCUGCCGACGGUAAGCCCGAUGACUGG
rnacentral:rRNA from 1 species